GUCUCGGCCAUAAAUAAACUCCGGUUUGGAUUUUUCCUCUUUCUCAAUUACAUGGAUAAAACUCCCAACUCUCUCCCCCACACACAGAAAACCCUACCGGAGUCCUCUUCUCCGGCGACCUUUUCAGCCGUAUCCGGCCGAUAUCAGUCCAUGCAAAAGCAGGUACUUCUCUCUCUUAGGUUUUGAGAAAACUAGGGUUUUUGAAGUUCAGAUUACUUUGACUGUUUUUCCUCUUCUGUAAUUCUAUCAUCGACGGCGGCUGCAAUGAAGCGGCCGAGAUCGUACGGUGAAGAUAUCGACAACGGCAUUAGUGAUAAAGCCUUGUAUAAGGAAUGGGGGCGGAGGGAUCAAGAUCCUGACCGUUUGUUGUCUCAUCGUCGAUUCUAUCCGAAGGCUGAAAACGGAAGGAAAGGAUCGUCAUCUUCGAACGACCGGUCUCUCGACGAUGAUCGUGAGCUUCUGCGGCCUCCUCGUAAGCGAUUCGAGCAUGAUUCUGACGGUUUUGAUCGGAGGAAGGGAUUCGAUCGGUACCGGGACUGUUCUGAUCGGGCAGCCCCGAUCUCUUCUCCUCGAAGCAUCUACAACGGUGACAGGAUACACCGGUCUGAGAGCUUUCCGGCGCCACCCAGAAGAGAGUUCCCAAAGGGGUUCCGAUCGGAUAGGGAUCGGCCGCGGCGAGAGGAGAGUGUUUCAGCCUGGAGGAGAUCAAUCACGAACGGGAAAGAUGCAGAUGAGGACCGGGUUGAUUUGGGGAGAGGGAGCCGAGUCGGGUCCGAGGAUCGAGGGAGUGUGAGGUCUUCAUCGGGAUCGAGAGACCUUGGGAAGUCGCCAACAUGGUCAAAGGACUCCGGUGGGGAGCAGUCAAAGAGCAUUGAAUUGAAGAAGACGGAAGAAGCGAACAGGGACAGUGGCAACAGCAGUGAAAUGGAAGAAGGGGAGCUAGAACCAGAUCCUGAUCCCAUUUCCGAACCAGAUCCUGACCCCAUUUCCAAACCAGAAUCAGAGCCAGAACCAGAAGUGGAACCACUCAUGGUGAUUGAGCCCCCUAAAAGUCUGAACGGCCUGGAAACAGAUACUACAAAGGAAGCUAAGUCGUCACAUGAAGAGAAGUUGCAAAUUGAUGACAUGAGCAUUUGCAAUGGAAAGCAGGAAGGUGAUGCGUUAGAGAUCGUGAGGGAUAUGGUUGAGAAAACUGAUAAGGGGUCAGAUUGUCAGGACAAUGCUGUGAACGAACUUUGUGGGAGCGAAGAAGAGGUUAAAGCUAAUAUGGGUGGAGAGAAGGAAGAGAAUGUUGAGGAAGAAGAACACAUGCAUUUGCCUUCUCCAAACCCCGAGUUCCAAGCCAAAGGAAAAGAGGAAUUGAACGAGGAAACAAGUAAGGAUGAAGUGAAAGAACACAAGGGUGUUGAGAAUGAAAGGAAGCCUUCACCUUUGGAGGCGCAGAAAGAAGAAAAGGGUAUUGACCUUGAGACUGAAGCAGAGGACGUUGAUUUGCUAAAUUCAAAUAAAGCUGUUGAAGAGGACAAUGUGCCUGAUGUAACUCUGAGGUUUGUAGCAGAUAACUUGAAUGGAAAUGCAAAGGAUAAAGGUAAAAGUCUGGCUGUUUCACCCUCUAAUGAAGGAAAUUCCACUGAAAAUGGUGGAUGGAUGGAUAGGGAUUUGCUGACUGGCAGAGAUGAUGCUAUGGAAGGACCAAGCAGCAGGGGCUUUGAGUUAUUCUUUCAUUCAGAUGUUACGAGACCGGAGAAGACAAACCAGUCAGGUGUUGAUGAGUUUAAGGCUGAGAAGUUAAAAAUGGAGCCGCUUGAGCUUGCACUUGGCUUGCCAAAUGUUUCUUUGUCUCUUGCUUCACAUGAUCCAAAGCAAUCCCCCAGUUCCCUGGGCCAGGCCCCUAAUUCCCCAAGUCGAGGGAGGAGCGUCCACUCUUUGCCAACCACGCUGCGUACAAGCUCGGAUGGAUUUACUGCAUCCAUCUCGUUUUCAGGUUCUCAUCCAUUUGUCCACAACCCGAGCUGCUCUCUCACACAGAAUUCUUUUGAAAACUAUGAACAUUCAGUUGGCAGUCAUCCUAUAUUUCAAGGUGUCGAUCAAAUUCCCCAGGGCUCUUGCCAAGGACAGUCCUCAAAUGAGCCAAAACGCAAGGAAGUUCCAUUGUAUCAAAGAAUGCUACAGAAUGGAAAUGGGACUCCGCAUCCAUCACAUGCAUCACAAGGCACUGUAAAUCGUCAAGCAGUGCAGGGACAAGGCUUGCUUAAAGUGUCGGAAGGGAGUACAGGAAUGCCCAAUGGCUUGGACAGGCAGUUAAGUCUUUCGAGACAGUUUUCAGGACAGCUGAGGCAUGACGAAGUCAGGUCCCCCUCCCACAGCGUUGGUUCGCGUGAAACUAGGCCAGAGCAUAAUAUGGAUAAGAAGCAGGUAAUGAGAGAGAGGAAUGGUGGCGGAAUAUUUAGGCCUGGCCAGAGGGAGUUGGAGCAGCUGGUUUUAAGUGGCAUUAGUGUCUCUGAGAUGAUCAUUGCCAAAAUGGUUUCAGAAAAUAUACAAAUAAUGGCUAGGAGAAUCCAAGAAAUGACGGAACAGUCCAUAGCAUAUCUAAAGGAAAGUGUCUGUGAGAUGAUAGGGAAUGAAGAUAAGCAGGGACAACUACGUGCAUUGCAGGAAGCACUUCAAAGAAGGUCUGAUUUUACGUUGGAUACACUGAAAACUUGCCAUCGUGCUCAGUUGGAGAUCUUGGUGGCACUUAAAACUGGCCUUCUAGAUUUCCUUCGGUCGGCCAAUAAUGUUCCAACUUCUGAUUUAGUUGAGAUUUUUUUGAACAUGAAGUGCAGAAAUCUUGCAUGUCGGAGUAGCUUGCCUGUGGAUGAAUGUGAUUGCAAAGUUUGUGCACAGAAGAAUGGCUUCUGCAGUGUGUGUAUGUGUAUGGUCUGCUCGAAGUUUGACAUGGCAUCUAAUACUUGUAGCUGGGUUGGCUGUGAUGACUGUCUUCAUUGGUGCCAUACUGACUGUGCUUUGAGGGAUUUGCAUAUCAGAAAUGGGCGGAGUGUCUCCGGGGUCCAAGGGACAACUGAGAUUCAGUUUCAUUGUGUUGCAUGUGGUCAACCAUCUGAGAUGUUUGGAUUUGUUAAGGAAGUGUUCAAAACUUGCGCAAAAGAUUGGAAGGUUGAUAAUCUGUCCAAGGAACUUGAAUAUGUGAGGAGGAUCUUUUGUUCUAGUGAUGAUGGGAGGGGAAAACGGCUGCAUGAUGUGGCUGCUCGUUUGCUGGGGAUGCUGGAAAAUAAGUCCAAUCUCUCUGAGGUCUAUAAAUUGAUCAUGCAAUUCUUGACUGAAAGUGAUUCCAAGUUGAGCACUACUCCUGCUUUGGUGAAGGAACUUUCACAGAAGAACCCAAGAGAAGGAAGUAAUGGCAUGGUUGGUCCAAGUCAAGAAGCCAUGUGGCUGAGAUCUGUUUCCACAGAGAAAGCUCCUCGCGUUGAAAAUGCAAACUGUGUUCUUCCAAGCAUGGAUUGGGAUCGGGUGGGCAGACAAACUUCAGUCCCAGAGUCUCAAUUGAAUGUUGAUAAGAAGCCAGUUCUAGAUGAGCUGGAGAGCAUUGUGAGGAUUAAACAGGCGGAGGCUAACAUGUUCCAAACACGUGCUGAUGAUGCAAGAAGAGAAGCUGAAGCCCUGAAACGUAUUGCAAUUGCCAAGAACAAAAAGAUCGAGGAGGAGUAUGCCAGUCGAAUCACAAAGUUACGUUUAUCUGAGGCUGAGGAAAGACGCAGACAAAAGCUUGAAGAGCUUCAGGUCCUAGAAAGAGCACACUGUGAAUACUUCAAUAUGAAGAUGAGAAUGGAAGGAGAUAUUAAGGAUCUUUUAUUGAAAAUGGAAGCUACAAAACGUAACCUCAGUAUGUGAUAUGGCUGUUGGAUUGUCAUGGGGUGUCAAGGACCUGACAUCAGUCUCAGUGAUUUGCAGGUAUAAUAUGUUCUUUAAGCAACAGGUGCGAGAGUCUGUGUAUGAGACUUGAUGACCUAUGGUCUAACUGAAGUUAUGGCCCUUGAUAGAGUGGAGUGGCAGAAAAGGAUUCAUGUAGCCAACCCCAAUUAGUUGGGAUGAGGCUUAGAUGAUGGUGAUGAUGAUGACGAUGACGAUGAAUAUGUUCUUUAAGCAACAAAUUUGGGAGUUUGCGUUUGAGAGAAAAUGCUAGCUUUACCUUCCAAAAUGAAAAGAAAGAAAAAGGAAAAUGGUUUGUGAGGAUGAUGCCUCAAUCUUAAUGGUGGACAAACAUAGGCUCAAUUUCACUGGGCUUUCUGCUUCAUUCAAAUGCACAAAGUCUGCACACUAAUGGAAAAUUGCACACAUUUUUGGGGUAUCUAUUAUGAAAAGCAUAAAUAUGUAUCCUUCAAAAAAAAAGAAGAGAAGAAGCAUAAAUAUGUAAUACAACUAAUAUAAACAUGUGCCAGAAUUUACUGCAUAUGUUAAUCUGAAUACAUUAAAUUUGCAUGUAAUUUAUAUGCUAAUGUGUAAGAAUGCACACUAAUCUACAUUCUAAUGUUUGGAUG